rnacentral:rRNA from 1 species
AUACGGAGGGUGCAAGCGUUGUCCGGAUUUAUUGGGUUUAAAGGGUGCGUAGGUGGCGUGUUAAGUCAGUGGUGAAAGCCUGCAGCUCAACUGUAGAGGUGCCAUUGAUACUGACAUGCUUGAGUAUGGAUGAGGUAGGCGGAAUUUGUGGUGUAGCGGUGAAAUGCAUAGAUACCACAAAGAACACCGAUAGCGAAGGCAGCUUACUGGACCAUAACUGACACUGAGGCACGAAAGUGUGGGUAGCGAACAGGAUUAAAAACCCUUGUAGUCC